rnacentral:tRNA from 1 species
UAAGUAAAUAGCCUUAGU